rnacentral:rRNA from 1 species
UGCANUGGGGGCACCCUGAUGCAGCGACGCCGCGUGAGCGAUGAAGCCCUUCGGGGUGUAAAGCUCUUUCGGCAGGAACGAUAAUGACGGUACCUGAAGAAGAAGCUGCGGCUAACUACGUGCCAGCAGCCGCGGUAAUACGUAGGCAGCAAGCGUUGUUCGGAGUUACUGGGCGUAAAGAGUGGGCAGGCGGUUCUCUAAGUUCGGUGUGAAAUCUCCCGGCUCAACUGGGAGGGUGCGCCGGAAACUGGAGGGCUGGAGUAUGGGAAGGGAAAGCGGAAUUCCUGGUGUAGCGGUGAAAUGCGUAGAUAUCAGGAGGAACACCUGUGGUGAAGACGGCUUUCUGGACCAUCACUGACGCUGAGACACGAAAGCGUGGGUAGCAAACAGGAUUAGAUACCCUGGUAGUCCACGCCCUAAACGAUGCAUACUUGGUGUGAGCCGUUCAUUCGGUUCGUGCCGGAGCUAACGCGUUAAGUAUGCCGCCUGGGGAGUACGGUCGCAAGGCUGAAACUCAAAAAAAUUGACGGA